CAGCCAACUCAUCAGAUUGUUUGGAAAGUAGUCUGUUAUCUUUGGGAUUGAGAAGGUUCCUGGCCACCACCGCAGCAGUCAUAUCAUUCUUCAUCACGGAAUCCCCAACGGUAAGAGGACCAGUAGGGGAUAAGAAGGAUGGGCGCCAUAUGUUGUCUGGAGAAUGCGUGGCUGCCUCUUCAACAAGGUUCAAGUCAAAACGACGGUCGG
rnacentral:lncRNA from 1 species